rnacentral:lncRNA from 10 species
AGGAAGUGAGAGACAGGCAGACACUUCUGUUCUUCCUGCAGAAAGUGCUGCUUCUGCAGUGACUCGUCAGAUGCUCCCCAGAGCCCAGCACAGACCCGGCUCCACCCACUUCUGUGGGUUGGCCAGAUGAGUGAGAAACACAGGCACAGCCAACGAGAGGGAGCUGAGGCCGGACCCAGGAGUCUUUUUCCUAUGGUCCUGCCUGAUAUAGUAACCGGGAAAGGGAUGAAUGUGAUGCAAUGUGCUCUUGUAAUGGAGCAUCACAGAACAGGUCAAAGACACAAGCCACACAGCAACGAGCGCGGACAGGCAGGGCAGAGCACAGCUGCACCCCCAUCAGGUACAUUUCAGGUGCUCAGCAGUGCACUUGUGCUUUGUGGCUGCCUUCUGGACAGCAUGG